rnacentral:lncRNA from 1 species
AAAAAUCUCCAGUCCAGAGGGAUCUCCAGCACUCACACCUGAUGUGUUUUAGGGGAAGAUUUGUGUCAGCUGGGGACAAUUAAAAAUCUCCAGUCCAGGUGGUGGAGUGGGAUAAAAAGAGGUGGGGAAGAGGCUGAGUCCUUUGUGGGUGUGAGGGGAUGGUGGAGUUGCUGUUGCUCUGCAGUUGUAAUGAUCUGGAUAAUCCCAUUAACUGUCCUGGAGCUUGAGCAGGGCCCAUCAGAAGAAAACCUCAGGACUGCAGCACUCAAAUGACACAGGUUCACUAUUUUAAUGUCCAGCAGCCAGCAUCAUCCCACUGCACUGUUAAUAGAUUAACACCAGCUGGAUGAUUUGGUUCCUCUUUGAGAAGUUGAACUCCCUAG